rnacentral:RNase_P_RNA from 1 species
ACUGCAAAUCGCUCUGCCGCCUUUGCCCCGAGUAGUCGGGGUGGGGAGGAAAGUCCGGACAACACAGAGCACCGCACCACCUAACCGGUGGGUCCUGCCGCCUGCCCGGGCAACCGGGCGGUGCAGGAACAGACAGGGUCACAGAAAACAACCGCCCCGAACACUCGGGGUAAGGGUGAAAAUGUGCGGUAAGAGCGCACAGCACGCCGGCGCAAGCCGGUGCGCGGAUAAACCUUGCGGGUUGAAAUGCCAUGUACACCUUGCGCUCCGCCCCGGCGGAGGGCGUGUUGCUCGCACGCCGCGUCGCUGUCCUGAUCCCGAGUACCCGGGAGGGACGCGCCAGCAAGGGGGGUAGGCAGCGCAGAGUUCCGCUGUGAAGCGGGACCCAGAUAAAUGGCAGAGGCUUCCCCGCUCUUCACGGGGUUGGGGAGCGACAGAAUCCGGCUUACAGAUUUGCAGUUAUU